GCCUUCGUGGCCUAACGGAUAAGGCGUCGGCUUUUUAAGCCGAAGAUUGCGUGUUCGAAUCUCAUCGGAGGUA
rnacentral:tRNA from 1 species